rnacentral:rRNA from 1 species
AACGAACGCUGGCGGCAUGCCUAACACAUGCAAGUCGAACGAAGCCUUCGGGCUUAGUGGCGCACGGGUGCGUAACGCGUGGGAAUCUGCCCCUUGCUUCGGAAUAACAGUUAGAAAUGACUGCUAAUACCGGAUGAAGUCUUCGGACCAAAGAUUUAUCGGCAAGGGAUGAGCCCGCGUAGGAUUAGGUAGUUGGUGGGGUAAAGGCCUACCAAGCCGACGAUCCUUAGCUGGUCUGAGAGGAUGAUCAGCCACACUGGGACUGAGACACGGCCCAGACUCCUACGGGAGGCAGCAGUGGGGAAUAUUGGACGAUGGACGCAAGUCUGAUCCAGCAAUGCCGCGUGAGUGAUGAAGGCCUUAGGGUUGUAAAGCUCUUUUACCAGGGAUGAUAAUGACAGUACCUGGAGAAUAAGCUCCGGCUAACUCCGUG